rnacentral:rRNA from 1 species
AUUGAACGCUGGCGGCAGGCUUAACACAUGCAAGUCGAGCGGGGUGAUGGUGCUUGCACUAUCACUUAGCGGCGGACGGGUGAGUAAUGCUUAGGAAUCUGCCUAUUAGUGGGGGACAACAUCUCGAAAGGGAUGCUAAUACCGCAUACGUCCUACGGGAGAAAGCAGGGGAUCACUUGUGACCUUGCGCUAAUCGAUGAGCCUAAGUCGGAUUAGCUAGUUGGUGGGGUAAAGGCCUACCAAGGCGACGAUCUGUAGCGGGUCGGAGAGGAUGAUCCGCCACACUGGGACUGGGACACGGCCCAGACUCCUACGGGAGGCAGCAGUGGGGAAUAUUGGACAAUGGGGGGAACCCUGAUCCAGCCAUGCCGCGUGUGUGAAGAAGGCCUUAUGGUUGUAAAGCACUUUAAGCGAGGAGGAGGCUCUUUUGGUUAAUACCCAAGAUGAGUGGACGUUACUCGCAGAAUAAGCACCGGCUAACUCUGUGCCAGCCGCCGCCGUAA